UUCACAUCAAAUGCAUAUCAACCACUGCUUCGAUCUCACGGAUCCAAACUGAAGGGAUUCCAACAGAUCUUCAAACCAGAACAACGAGCUGCGACGGGAAACAUGAACGACGGCUGGAAAAGAUCCAGAAUACAAAACUAGCUUUAUAUAUCAAUAUUUCUGAUUUUUGAAGUGAAACCACAACUUAGAAAAAGCUGAUUUGAUUUUCAGCGCCGCUUCAUUUCAGUUUCAAAUUCGACAUUGAGCAAAAGAAACAAAAACAUUACCAUAUUCUGUCUUUGGUUUUCGACGAUGCUGGUAUGUGUAUGUAUGUGUUUUGGUAUGUGUGUGUGUUUAUUUCUUGUUUGAGCUGUUGAUGGAACUCGAUAGCUAUGGAGGAGUUGGUUAUUGUGUGUUUUGCAUGGUGGUAUUGGCUGGUGUCCAAUAAUUGAGGGGAAUCAGUCCAUGGUGGGGAUGGAGGUUCGGAGAAGACGAAGCUUCAGAGGUGGGGUCUGUCCUGUAAAACACAAAGUUUGUGUGAAGAGAAGCGGC
rnacentral:lncRNA from 1 species